CGCGCAGGGUUCGGUUUGUACCUUUUGCAUGAAAGAAUGACUGAUCUUUUUUUAUGACAUCGAUCUUGAGACGAGCUUUGUGUAGAUCUCAAAGCAUUUCGAACUUCUUUAUGCAUUUGUCUACACAGAUCUUGAAGCAGUCAUCAUGUGAUCCAAUGAUGGAUUAAUGCGAAGGAAGGUGAAUCGAUCCUUCACACUAUAGAUACAACCCAGUGCCCCCAUGAGAUGGAUGAUUUAAGGAACCUAUCAAUAAGAUGAAAGAUUAGACACAUACGUGGAAAGAAAUUGGCUAAUAAACUUCCUAGUUAAGCACAGAA
rnacentral:lncRNA from 1 species